CAGGUCGGCCAGGCGGUCGCGCUCCGCGCAAGGCGCGGGGUGAGGAAAGUCCGGGCUCCACAGGGCACGGUGCUGGGUAACGCCCAGGCGGGGUAACCCGACGGAUCGGGCCACAGAAACAGACCGCCAGCGGGCGGAGGGGGGCCGUCAGCCUCAGGUUGGCGGUUUCUCCUCUGCUGCGGGCAAGGGUGAAAAGGGGGUGUAAGAGACCACCGGCGUCCGGGGUGACCCGGGCGGCCAGGCAACCCCCACCGGGAGCAAGGCCAAGCAGGGGCGACGCGGAGGCAGUGCCUGUCUCUGCCUCUGCACGGGGCGGCCCGUCCCGUCCGAGCCCCGGGUGGGCCGCUUGAGGCGGCGGGCAACCGCCGUCCCAGAGAGAUGACCGCCCACGACAGAACCCGGCUUAUCGGCCGGCCUGGAGC
rnacentral:RNase_P_RNA from 1 species